rnacentral:snRNA from 1 species
AUCGCUUCUCGGCCUUUUGGCUAAGAUCAAGUGUAGUAUCUGUUCUUAUCAGUUUAAUUAUGGCAGUUCUAGCAAACUAAUACAACUUAUUUAUUUACUACUAGAGGCCAGGUGCAUGAAAUUUAUGCACUCAGGGGGGGUCCCUCAGCCCAGCCUGCACCCUCUCACAGUCUGGGAGCCCUCAGGGGAUGUCCGACUGCCAGUU